rnacentral:lncRNA from 1 species
GAUGUGUGGCGUGGACGUGGACCUGGAUGAUGGUCCAGCUGAUGAGGAGAAGGAGGAGGAUGAGUUCUGGACCGGGGAUGCUGUGAAGAUGCUGCCCCCUCCCAUGGCCCACAGUGAGGGCAGUGUGUGGGGUGGCCAUAGGGGCAGGUGGGGCUGCUUGGCUUGUGGAGCAGCUCUCAUCCUCUGGAACCUGUGUGUGGUUUCAGUCGGAGCUCUGCUGCUGCUGGUGGUCUUCUGUGUGGUGCUGCUGCCGUCAGGGCUGCUGCUGUACGCCGGCUUCCUCUGCCACUCCAGGGUCCUCGAUUCCUCCUCUACCAUCUGCCGUUACCUUGACGACAACAGCUGCUCUGCCCUCAUCAUCCUGGGCUUUGUGAUGAUGUCUCCACUAGUGGUCGUGGCUGCUGCGAUCUUCUGCGGGCUGCUCCGAAGGUUUCGGCUUCUGCUUUUCAUCCAGCCGAUCGGGCGUGCUCGGUACCGAGGGAGGCUGCAGGACUGGGUGGGCAGCUUCCACGCCUGGGUCUAAGAGUGUGGUGAUGAUGCUGAAAGUGUCAUGUUGGGUGGCAGUUUCUUGACCCACGACAUGCAGAAUCAUAACACGGAGAGCAGGGAGGUAAGUAAAAAGGUUUUUAUUUCUAAAUAAGGAGCAGCGGGAGAGACGGGAACAGACGAGACGCAGGACUGGCAGCAGGAAUCCAGGGGGAGAUUAUAAGGAGAGAGACAGAGUGAAUAAGAGGUGAAAAACAAAUAGAAACUUUAUCUGAAAGACUGGUCUUACUGUUACUUGGUAGUGGUAACUGUACAGGAGGGAUUGUCAGGUCCGGGUGAGCUGAAGAGAUCCAAGUUAAAGGGACUGUUUGUCCAGAGGUGUAGGAGCAGGAAUGGACGUUGGUAGGUGAGCGGCUGAGAGCGGGCGGCCAGGGGAUGAAGCAGUGUGGUCAGGUAGGCUGAGAUCCGGGUUUGUUCUGGAGGAGGUGAGAGGUGAAGGGGAACCUGGAGGAGAGCAGGAGAGGGCAUGAAGGGAUUUUCAGGUGACAGGUUAACAAGAGCAAAAAAACACAAAUGUCUAAGUCGGGCCGGGUCAGAGGCUAGAGCUACCCAAGAAGAGUAAUCAUCCGGCGUGGUGAAGUGUCACACUGCUCCUUAAAUCCCCUGGGCCUUGAUGGUGAAAUCAGCUGCAGCUGGGAGCUCUCAGACACGCCUAUCUGUGAGGACAAAACUCAGGAGAAAACAGGGUUACAGACUGAAAGAGCCACCUGUGGGUGUUGGCUGGACUGCAGGUCAGCAUCAGCUUACCUGGUCGUAUGCCUGACACAGGCUCGCUCAUUCCAGGAAGCUGUGACGCUCCGCUUUUGAAGCUGUCAAACCACGGCCCAUCGUGCUCCACUGAAGCAGAAGCAGGAGGGCAAAAAUCGCUUUGUGUUGUCCAGAUGGAAACAGGAGGAUCAUUUACUGCUCUAUCAUUAAACAUGUUCACAAGUUUAUUAUGAGAAAAGAUGCAGAAUUUGAGGGAGGAGACGGGAGCAGAAAACGAACUGAUGGAGACGACACAGAAUAACUGAAACACAUUCAGAACAGGGUAAAAAGCAUCUCUGUCUAAUUCAGUAGGACAUGAGGCUCAGUUUUAUCUAACAAACUAUUAUGAAACGGAUGUUUCUGAUCAUUUUGUGGCUUUGCAGAAAAUAAAUCCCAGACUAUUAUUACUGUAAUCAUAAUUUAAUGUACCUCUUACAUAGAACAGUUCAGUUUGUCUGUGCGACAAUGAUUUUGUGCCUUAUAAAUUACAGAGAACACUGAUUACGUAUAAUUUAAUGCAAUAGGCUGAACAAUAUAAAGGGCUCGUUUCAUGAAGCAGAUUUCUGCAGCAACAACGGGAACAGAGCCCUUUAGAUUUCACAGUUAAUUGCCGGAAUCUCCUUUUGGGAGACUUGUCUCAGCUCAGAACUGCCUGAUCUAUAACAAACACCCACGCAAACAAAAUUAAAUAACAAAUGCAAAAGCACAUAAUGAUCUGCUGAGCUGCAGCUGGAUGUUAGUUUACUGUCAUCAUGUUUUGUUCACAAGUUUUUUGUUGUUGUUUUGGUUCUGCAGCUUUUAUUUUGAAGAAACUCUGUGACAACAUGUAGCUUUUACCAUUAAUGUCUGGAAAUAUCCAUUGGCGUGUUGUUGUAAAUGAAUUAAAAGAUGCCCAGUUGCUGAAACAUAUUGGUGGUUUCAUAACAUUUAACCAUAAUACAUGGGAGCGAUUGGUCUGUCUAAAUUGUCCUGAGGUGUGAGAGUGAAGAUGAUUGUUUGUCCGGUGUCUCACUGUGUUGCCUGCAAUGGACUGGCUCUCUGUCCAGGGUGUAGUCCCCCUGGUUGCCCAUUGACUGCUGGAGAUAGCAGCCCAUCCCCCCCCCCCCCCGCCCCCGGGGGGGGGGGGGGGGGGGGGGGGGGGGGGGGGGGGGGGGGGGGGGGGGGGGGCAUGUAUCCAUCCAUCAGGCAAUGGAUGGAUGGAUACAUGGGAUCUAAGUCUCUGGGCGAUGCCAUGUUAGAUGCCAUGUUUCCUUCUACGGAAGCCUGUGAGGACACAAUGCAUUUACUGAUUUGUAACAAAUAAUUACAAAACUAUCAGCAUUAAUAAACAUUGUUGUUUUACACAUUUACCUCUUCUCUCACUGCAGUGGAUGAAAGGGAGUCUGAUGUUCUUGUGCUUUUGCUGGAGGGUGCACUCCCAAGGAUUUUUGACCCUGAUGGCCAUCCGUUGGUAACGUCUUACUUUAACACAAAAAUAAUGCUUGCUUGCAAUCAUUUAGGUAUCUACUGCCCCCUAUCGCCACGGAAAAUACACAUUAUGAAAGUUUAUUUUCAGAUCAUUUUAAAAAAUGAUCUAUAAAAUAAUAACUUAACUCAUUAACUGUCAUCAACGACUAAAGUCGUCAUUUGCAUUUUUUUUUUUACUGUGUGGGCGUCGGAACGAGCUCCCGCACCGUGAGAACAAACAAUGGUGGCACUUGUAACAAAGCGAUUGCUGCGUGCUUUGCUAUUGACCUGUGGAAAUACACAGAGGUGUGUUAGCAGGAUUUUUCUAUUUCUUUGCUAUGAUAAAUAAACAAUAUAAAAACAUUUACUGUAAAUCAUACGUACAUAGUACUUUAUGGCUUCGUUUUUCUUUGUUUCCUUGUUACAUUACCAACGUUAAGGUGCAGGUCGUGCUGGAGACCUGUGGAUCGUUGGUGUUUUCACCAGGUGCAGCAGAUAGAGAACAUGCCUGAUGAUACUUUCUGUUGUCAGGCUCUCUCUCCCCGGAUACAGCUCUCAUUUAGUCAUAAUGAUCAUGAUGGACUUCCCUGCCUCCCUUAUUAGUUCUGCUGUGACGUGUCUUUAACCCCACAGUCACUAUUCAUGUGUUAUUACCACAAAUAGAACCACUCAGAAUAUUAAAUAAAAUCUCAAACCCUCGAGUCUGCAGCAGAAAGUCAGCCGGGUAGUUCAGAGGCCACCUUCCUCUGCUUCUACACGUCUCUUCCUAAUGGUGCCUCUAAAUGCUGCUUCCUCCCAAACCCUCAUCAUUUUUAUAUAAAAGGGAUGCUGCUCCUCCGGGCUCAGGCACUAAAAGGUAGGAUUUAAUGCAGAAGGAACAAAAGGGGGGCUCGUCUGUCUGUGUGGCUGCAUGUGUUUGUUCAGUGAGCGUUUAAUGAGGUAAUAAGGAGACCUUGUUCAUGGCUGUAUCUGUGACGCUCCACAUCAACAGGAAGGGGUGCAGAAACAGCACUCUCUGUGUCCUUGUUGUGGGAACAAGUGGUCGAGCAAAUAUUCUCUGUGUUAGUGCACGGCUGUUCACCAGUGCGAAUGAGCAAACAAACUCAGAUUGCUCGUUUUCUCACGACUUCCUGUUGUGGAUAAAAAAAAGCUGUGACGAAGCACAGAGAGGAGGGUUAGGAGCAGGGAGUGAGGAGCGAGGAGCAGCAGGCUGUCGGGGAGGAGGAGGCUUUCAAGAGCAGGGCUGAGGAGGAAUAAAAGCUUUUAGUUAGACUCAUAAAGACCAUCCAUCCGUCCACCCACCCAAUUGUGUUGCUUAGGCAACAGGUCCAGAAGGGAAUGGCAUCCCUUUUCCCAGACAAUACAGAAUGUACAAUUCCACCAGUGAGUUCUGGACCUGCUUCCCAUGGAGAUGGGUGUCCUAACCCGUGUUUUGGUCUGUUUAAAUUGUAUGUUAUGAAACAUGACCUGGGUUUAGAGACAACUAUUAGCUCUGAUUAGCACGUGCCACACUCUGGUCUUGAUUGCACUAAUUGGCUGCACCUGCUUGGUGAGGCAAGGGUCACCUCUGGGUUGCCUGACUGCUUUAAAAUAACACACUAUACCUCCACUCAUCAUGUUCAGUCUCCCUAUCCCGCAGUAAUCUGGGUUGUAACCUGGGACGUAAUUUUGGGGGGGGACGGGUGGGACAUGUCCCCCCCACUUUUUCAAAAGACAGUUUUGGUCCCCUGCACUUUUUUCCGUCCGAAAACAAUGUUACGCUCCAUUAAAUGGAUUUGGUUGAGCACUAGGACCGAAACGGAAACCGGUUUCCUAUUAGACCCGCCCAAAAGCUAAUCUAUUGGCUCUGCUGAUACUUGCUAACGUAUUAUUGGCUGUUGCUGCUGUCACUCAAGUUGUAAACAGUCAGAACGUGCUCACGUUGUUUUGCUAGUUUGGAGCCGCUAGGGAACACCGGUACUGAGUCACAUCGUCAACUAGACGCUGUGUAAUAUCAGAGCUCAGCUCAGCUUCCAUUACAUAACAUUUGAAUAAGUGUUCAUUUGUGAGUCUUUGGUAGUUAGGCACAGCCAGGAGGCAGCAUGUCAAGAAAACGAAAAGUGGAUAUAAGAGACUUCUUUCAAAGUCAAAACGUAAGUUGGAACAUGUGACACCCCUGCAUUAAGCUCAGACUCACCUCCUCCUUCACA